rnacentral:rRNA from 1 species
AAGUCGAGGGGCAUCGGGAUUGAAGCUUGCUUCAAUUGCCGGCGACCGGCGCACGGGUGCGUAACGCGUAUGUAACCUACCUAUAACAGGGGCAUAACACUGAGAAAUUGGUACUAAUUCCCCAUAAUAUUCGGAGAGGCAUCUCUCCGGGUUGAAAACUCCGGUGGUUAUAGAUGGACAUGCGUUGUAUUAGCUAGUUGGUGAGGUAACGGCUCACCAAGGCAACGAUACAUAGGGGGACUGAGAGGUUAACCCCCCACACUGGUACUGAGACACGGACCAGACUCCUACGGGAGGCAGCAGUGAGGAAUAUUGGUCAAUGGACGCAAGUCUGAACCAGCCAUGCCGCGUGCAGGAAGACGGCUCUAUGAGUUGUAAACUGCUUUUGUACGAGGGUAAACUCACCUACGUGUAGGUGACUGAAAGUAUCGUACGAAUAAGGAUCGGCUAACUCCGUGCCAGCAGCCGCGGUAAUACGGAGGAUUCAAGCGUUAUCCGGAUUUAUUGGGUUUAAAGGGUGCGUAGGCGGUUUGAUAAGUUAGAGGUGAAAUCCCGGGGCUUAACUCCGGAACUGCCUCUAAUACUGUUAGACUAGAGAGUAGUUGCGGUAGGCGGAAUGUAUGGUGUAGCGGUGAAAUGCUUAGAGAUCAUACAGAACACCGAUUGCGAAGGCAGCUUACCAAACUAUAUCUGACGUUGA